GUAUGGACCAGUAUUGAACUGACUUUUUGAGCAAUAAAAGCUAAACCCUGCUGAGUAUAAAGAAAUUAAGUCCCAUGCUAGAGCAAACUGUGGCUCCUAACAAUUGCCCGGCCUCUGUGCCUAUAGGCUGCUGGCACUGACGUGGGUCAUACAGGG